UCAAACAAUGGGUGGGGAAACAGGUGCGGUACUAGACUAAAAAUGAGUCUAGCCAUUCAGAGUUAGCAAAGAGUGGUAAAAAUGAUGCGAACAAAACUCUGAAUGUAUGAUCCAUUACAUGAUUCUCAAGCCCCUAAGUGAGAUAAAUUAAGUCCAUAUUAAGUUCAAGUAUAUAAGAUUAAGCUCAAUUCAUCCAAAUUUCAAAGAGAUAGGGACUACUAUAGAGUGAUCAAGUGAUGGAUUUUCCUGAACUUCCAAGUUAUCGAAUAGUGCUAAAAUGGUCCCAAGGCAAUGAAAUCAAACACGGUGCAGUUCCUUAAGAAAAGAUCAUAGAUCUCAGACAACAUUUUGACUCAAUAAAAGACACGAUUUUGACUCGAUAAAAUAGACUCGAUGACUCAAAAAGAAAAACAUCAAAAUGACUCAAGGAAACAUCAAAAAUGCAAACUAGAUUAGUAGACAAGUGGCAGCCUCCCCCCGACUUGCUUCACACCGACUCGGUGUGAAAACAAUUCGAAAGGAAGAUGCC
rnacentral:lncRNA from 1 species